UUAAGCGACUAAGCGUACACGGUGGAUGCCCUGGCAGUCAGAGGCGAUGAAGGACGUGCUAAUCUGCGAUAAGCGUCGGUAAGGUGAUAUGAACCGUUAUAACCGGCGAUUUCCGAAUGGGGAAACCCAGUGUGUUUCGACACACUAUCAUUAACUGAAUCCAUAGGUUAAUGAGGCGAACCGGGGGAACUGAAACAUCUAAGUACCCCGAGGAAAAGAAAUCAACCGAGAUUCCCCCAGUAGCGGCGAGCGAACGGGGAGCAGCCCAGAGCCUGAAUCAGUGUGUGUGUUAGUGGAAGCGUCUGGAAAGGCGCGCGAUACAGGGUGACAGCCCCGUACACAAAAAUGCACAUGCUGUGAGCUCGAUGAGUAGGGCGGGACACGUGGUAUCCUGUCUGAAUAUGGGGGGACCAUCCUCCAAGGCUAAAUACUCCUGACUGACCGAUAGUGAACCAGUACCGUGAGGGAAAGGCGAAAAGAACCCCGGCGAGGGGAGUGAAAAAGAACCUGAAACCGUGUACGUACAAGCAGUGGGAGCACGCUUAGGCGUGUGACUGCGUACCUUUUGUAUAAUGGGUCAGCGACUUAUAUUCUGUAGCAAGGUUAACCGAAUAGGGGAGCCGAAGGGAAACCGAGUCUUAACUGGGCGUUAAGUUGCAGGGUAUAGACCCGAAACCCGGUGAUCUAGCCAUGGGCAGGUUGAAGGUUGGGUAACACUAACUGGAGGACCGAACCGACUAAUGUUGAAAAAUUAGCGGAUGACUUGUGGCUGGGGGUGAAAGGCCAAUCAAACCGGGAGAUAGCUGGUUCUCCCCGAAAGCUAUUUAGGUAGCGCCUCGUGAAUUCAUCUCCGGGGGUAGAGCACUGUUUCGGCAAGGGGGUCAUCCCGACUUACCAACCCGAUGCAAACUGCGAAUACCGGAGAAUGUUAUCACGGGAGACACACGGCGGGUGCUAACGUCCGUCGUGAAGAGGGAAACAACCCAGACCGCCAGCUAAGGUCCCAAAGUCAUGGUUAAGUGGGAAACGAUGUGGGAAGGCCCAGACAGCCAGGAUGUUGGCUUAGAAGCAGCCAUCAUUUAAAGAAAGCGUAAUAGCUCACUGGUCGAGUCGGCCUGCGCGGAAGAUGUAACGGGGCUAAACCAUGCACCGAAGCUGCGGCAGCGACNNNNNNNNNNNNNGAAGGUGUGCUGUGAGGCAUGCUGGAGGUAUCAGAAGUGCGAAUGCUGACAUAAGUAACGAUAAAGCGGGUGAAAAGCCCGCUCGCCGGAAGACCAAGGGUUCCUGUCCAACGUUAAUCGGGGCAGGGUGAGUCGACCCCUAAGGCGAGGCCGAAAGGCGUAGUCGAUGGGAAACAGGUUAAUAUUCCUGUACUUGGUGUUACUGCGAAGGGGGGACGGAGAAGGCUAUGUUGGCCGGGCGACGGUUGUCCCGGUUUAAGCGUGUAGGCUGGUUUUCCAGGCAAAUCCGGAAAAUCAAGGCUGAGGCGUGAUGACGAGGCACUACGGUGCUGAAGCAACAAAUGCCCUGCUUCCAGGAAAAGCCUCUAAGCAUCAGGUAACAUCAAAUCGUACCCCAAACCGACACAGGUGGUCAGGUAGAGAAUACCAAGGCGCUUGAGAGAACUCGGGUGAAGGAACUAGGCAAAAUGGUGCCGUAACUUCGGGAGAAGGCACGCUGAUAUGUAGGUGAAGCGACUUGCUCGUGGAGCUGAAAUCAGUCGAAGAUACCAGCUGGCUGCAACUGUUUAUUAAAAACACAGCACUGUGCAAACACGAAAGUGGACGUAUACGGUGUGACGCCUGCCCGGUGCCGGAAGGUUAAUUGAUGGGGUUAGCGCAAGCGAAGCUCUUGAUCGAAGCCCCGGUAAACGGCGGCCGUAACUAUAACGGUCCUAAGGUAGCGAAAUUCCUUGUCGGGUAAGUUCCGACCUGCACGAAUGGCGUAAUGAUGGCCAGGCUGUCUCCACCCGAGACUCAGUGAAAUUGAACUCGCUGUGAAGAUGCAGUGUACCCGCGGCAAGACGGAAAGACCCCGUGAACCUUUACUAUAGCUUGACACUGAACAUUGAGCCUUGAUGUGUAGGAUAGGUGGGAGGCUUAGAAGUGUGGACGCCAGUCUGCAUGGAGCCGACCUUGAAAUACCACCCUUUAAUGUUUGAUGUUCUAACGUUGACCCGUAAUCCGGGUUGCGGACAGUGUCUGGUGGGUAGUUUGACUGGGGCGGUCUCCUCCUAAAGAGUAACGGAGGAGCACGAAGGUUGGCUAAUCCUGGUCGGACAUCAGGAGGUUAGUGCAAUGGCAUAAGCCAGCUUGACUGCGAGCGUGACGGCGCGAGCAGGUGCGAAAGCAGGUCAUAGUGAUCCGGUGGUUCUGAAUGGAAGGGCCAUCGCUCAACGGAUAAAAGGUACUCCGGGGAUAACAGGCUGAUACCGCCCAAGAGUUCAUAUCGACGGCGGUGUUUGGCACCUCGAUGUCGGCUCAUCACAUCCUGGGGCUGAAGUAGGUCCCAAGGGUAUGGCUGUUCGCCAUUUAAAGUGGUACGCGAGCUGGGUUUAGAACGUCGUGAGACAGUUCGGUCCCUAUCUGCCGUGGGCGCUGGAGAACUGAGGGGGGCUGCUCCUAGUACGAGAGGACCGGAGUGGACGCAUCACUGGUGUUCGGGUUGUCAUGCCAAUGGCACUGCCCGGUAGCUAAAUGCGGAAGAGAUAAGUGCUGAAAGCAUCUAAGCACGAAACUUGCCCCGAGAUGAGUUCUCCCUGACNGUCCUGAAGGAACGUUGAAGACGACGACGUUGAUAGGCCGGGUGUGUAAGCGCAGCGAUGCGUUGAGCUAACCGGUACUAAUGAACCGUGAGGCUUAACCUU
rnacentral:rRNA from 1 species